CUACUUACCUGGCAGGGGAGAUGCCAUGAUCACGAAGGUGGUUUUCCCAGGGCGAGGCUUAUCCAUUGCACUCCAGAUGUGCUGACCCCUGCGAUUUCUCCAAAUGUGGGAAACUCGACUGCAUAAUUUGUGGGAGUUGAGGACUGCAUUCGGCUCUCCCCUG
rnacentral:snRNA from 1 species